GGCGCAAGCGGGCAACGUCACGACUAUCGCAGGGGGGGGGGGGGUUGUCAGUCCUGGGCCGACUUCACAGAGAGCACAGGAUUCGAACCCGGUUCACUUCCGGGUCGACUUACAGGUAGCAACCGCACAGACGACCGCGAUUUGACGCGCUAUGUCUUUCCAGUGGCAAUGAUAUUGUCAUCAUCAUUUACCGUGUCAACAACAGGAAGCAUUCAAUCGGCGUAAUCAAAAUUUGUGACCGUCGUUAACUUCCUGACGUGUACGAUGCUCACAUACCUUGUGCUUGGAUAUAUCGUUGUCAACACGUGCUAUUGUGUGUCUUCUCCAAUGCAGCUAAUAUAUCUGAGCAACACCCUAAAUGUCUCGGGGCUUAUCGAAGACGAACGGAUUGCCGCCGCCUAUGUCAACGAGCUGAAGACCCCGCUUGACAUAUUGUACAAAGCCAGCACUAAUUCGCAAUGGGAUUUCAAUACCAAUAUCACGGACUACAACCAGAAUAUGUCGGAAACCGUGGAAAAUGAACUAACAAAAAAGAGGAGAGAGAUUGGCUUAACUGCGAAACGCUUCGCAUUUAAAACAUUCAAAAAUGUGACCCUCGUUCGAAUGUUUCGAAGAUUGAACGACAUAGGACUCGGCAUACUGAAGGAUGAAGAAGCCGCUGAGGCAAUUAAAUUAUGGGGAGAAAUGGAGAAGAUAUACAGCUCGACCGAAGUCGUCAUCAGAGGGAAAAACAUGUCACUCGAACCAGACUUAACGCAAACAAUGGCGAAAGUCGGAGACUACGGUGCUCUUCUCGAGGCCUGGAAGAAGUGGCACGAAGGUGCGGGCCGGCCCAUAAGACCGCUGUACCAGAGGUUUAUCACAAUCGUCAACAAGUCGGCUGUAAUGAACGGAUACGAAAACUUGAAGGGCAGCUGGCUCGAAAAUUACGAGACAGAGAACAUCACUGACAUGGUGGAUGCCCUGUGGGAGGAAGUGUCGCCGCUUUACAAGAAGCUGCACGCUUUCGUUCGCAAGAAGCUUAAGGAGAUUUACCCCAAUAAGAUUCCAGCAGAUGGUACCAUUCCAGCGCACUUGCUCGGAAAUAUGUGGGCACAGUCCUGGGCUAACCUCUACAAUAAUAUUAGUCAAGGGUCAAUUCUGGACGUCACUCCUGAAAUGAAAAACAAGAAGUGGAACGCAACAAAAAUGUUCAAAACGUCCGAGAAGUUUUUCACAAGUUUAGGAAUGAAACCGAUGACCGGUAUAUUCUGGGCCAAAAGUAUGCUUACCAAGCCUCCGAAUAGGAAGGUUGUGUGUCACGCAUCUGCUUGGGAUUUUUCAACGCCACAGGAUUUCAGGGUAAAAAUGUGCACGGACAUCACAAUGGAGGACCUAUUUACGGUGCACCAUGAGAUGGGUCACAUUGCCUACUAUAUGCAGUACUUCAAUCAGCAUCCAUUAUUCAGAGAGGGUGCCAACGAAGGUUUUCACGAGGCUAUAGGAGACCUUAUGGCUCUAUCGGUAUCUACACCGAGUCACCUGAAAAAGCUAGGCCUUCUACGGGACAGCAACAUUAACACUGUUGAUUUCCAGCUGCUUACCGCCCUGGAUAAGGUAGCUUUCCUACCUUUCGGAUACCUGUUGGACAAGUGGCGAUGGACCCUGUUCACAGGAGAGACGCCACUAGAACAAAUGAACAGAAAAUUCUGGGAAUACAGGAUCAAGUAUCAAGGAGUCUCACCUCCCGUGAAAAGGAGCGAAAAUGACUUUGACCCAGGAGCAAAAUACCACGUUCCCGCAAACUUUCCAUAUUUAAGAUAUUUUGUGAGCUUCAUAAUCCAGUUUCAGUUCCACGAGCACUUGUGUAAGGAAUCGGGAGAACUUGGUAGCAAAAAACUUCACGAAUGUGACAUCUACAAAAAGAAGAAGGCUGGAGCUAUACUCAGGAAGGGCCUGUCCUUAGGGUCCAGCAAGGUUUGGCAAGAUGUCUUUGAAAUCAUGGCAGGCACAAGGGAAAUGUCAGCGUCGUCCAUCAAGAAAUAUUUUGAACCUUUGGAUACUUGGCUGAAUACUCAACUCCAGGGCGAGACAGUUGGAUGGGAUAAUGCAAAAGUGGAACACUACAUGGAAUCUGGACAGGAGGUAGUAGAGACAUCAAUGUUCUUACUCCUAUCAUUAGUCAGCACAGUUAUGCUCGCAUGGAGGGCCCUCCAGCCCUGAGCCAGAAAGCAUGCAAGCACAAGCAUGUCACUCAUAUAUGUGGAGAUCCCAGCCAAAAGUUACCUCUACAAUUGCACGGGCAUGGAACCUGCAACGCUUGCAUCUGGUGUUUACAACUCUGCACUGCAUGCUUUCACAUUUGUAGGUGAUACUGCAAGCAUGCUUCCGAGACGCAAGGAAUGCAUGAAAGCAUGGCGUGAAACAUUAAAGCGAUUGCAACGGUUUUCUAUAAAGAGUGAAAAUAAUGGAAAAUUGUAUUUUCAUGCUAGAGAUAUCUGUCCAUAACAGACUGUUUGGAGAGCUUGGGAACAGGGUCG